GAUGAAGAACGUAGCGAAAUGCGAUAAGUAAUGUGAAUUGCAGAAUUCAGUGAAUCAUCGAAUCUUUGAACGCACAUUGCGCCCGCCAGUAUUCUGGCGGGCAUGCCUGUCCGAGCGUCAUUUCAACCCUCGAACCCCUCCGGGGGGUCGGCGUUGGGGAUCGGCCCUCCCUUAGCGGGUGGCCGUCUCCGAAAUACAGUGGCGGUCUCGCCGCAGCCUCUCCUGCGCAGUAGUUUGCACACUCGCAUCGGGAGCGCGGCGCGUCCACAGCCGUUAAACACCCACCUUCUGAAAUGUUGACCUCGGAUCAGGUAGGAAUACCCGCUGAACUUAAGCAUAUCAAUAAGCGGAGGA
rnacentral:misc_RNA from 1 species